AAUCAACGCUGGCGGCGUGCCUAACACAUGCAAGUCGAGCGAGAAAAGGGGGGCAACUCCCUGAGUACAGCGGCGCACGGGUGAGUAACACGUGGGUAAUCUGCCCUGGAGUGGGGAAUAACACCGGGAAACCGGUGCUAAUACCGCAUACGAUCACGGAGUCUGCGGAUUUUGUGAUGAAAGGAGCAAUUCGCUCUAGGAGGAGCCCGCGGCUGAUUAGCUAGUUGGUGAGGUAAUGGCUCACCAAGGCAACGAUCAGUAUCCGGUCUGAGAGGACGGUCGGACACACUGGAACUGAGACACGGUCCAGACUCCUACGGGAGGCAGCAGUGGGGAAUUUUUGGCAAUGGGGGCAACCCUGACCAAGCAACGCCGCGUGGGUGAUGAAGUCUCUUGGGACGUAAAACCCUUUCGACGGGGACGAAACCGCAAGGUUGACGGUACCCGUAGAAGAAGCCCCGGCUAACUCCGUGC
rnacentral:rRNA from 1 species